rnacentral:rRNA from 1 species
ACAGUGGACGCGAGCAUCUGUGGCCAAGUUUUUAAGGGCGCACGGUGGAUGCCUUGGCACCAGGAACCGAUGAAGGACGUGGGAGGCCACGAUAGGCCCCGGGGAGCUGUCAACCGAGCUUUGAUCCGGGGGUGUCCGAAUGGGGAAACCCGGCAGUCGUCAUGGGCUGUCACCCGCUGCUGAACACAUAGGCAGUGUGGAGGGAACGCGGGGAAGUGAAACAUCUCAGUACCCGCAGGAAGAGAAAACAACCGUGAUUCCGGGAGUAGUGGCGAGCGAAACCGGAUGAGGCCAAACCGUAUGUGUGUGAUACCCGGCAGGGGUUGCGCAUACGGGGUUGUGGGAGCUUCCUUGAUCAGUCUGCCGGCUGAUCGGAGAGUCAGAAAC